UUUUCUUUUUUUAACUUUUUUUAACUUGAAAAAAAGUUUAUAAAAAUCUUUUUAUGUUUUUUUGAGAAAUAUGUAGCAUGCUACAUGCUUUAUUUAUUUUAUUUAGAAAUAAACUUAGCUGGAAAUGUGAAUCAACUAAGAUUCGAACUUGGGACCUCGGAUACCAACCACCAAGCUCUUUGCCACUUGCACUAGGGACAGUCGGUAAGUUUAUAAAAAUUUUAAACAAGUUUGAAAUAGGAGUGCGAGGGUGAUUGCGCAAUGCGUUGAUG
rnacentral:lncRNA from 1 species